rnacentral:rRNA from 1 species
GAUGAACGCUAGCGGCAGGCUUAGCACAUGCAAGUCGAGGGGCAGCAUGAUGUAGCAAUACAUUGAUGGCGACCGGCGCAAGGGUGCGUAACGCGUGAGUAACAUGCCCGUAUCAGGGGGAUAACCCGAAGAAAUUCGGACUAAUACCCCAUAGUAAUUUGUGGAGGCAUCUCUAUAAAUUUAAAGCUCCGGCGGAUACGGAUUGACUCGCGUGACAUUAGCUAGAUGGUAAGGUAACGGCUUACCAUGGCAACGAUGUCUAGGGGAACUGAGAGGUUGGUCCCCCACACUGGAACUGAGACACGGUCCAGACUCCUACGGGAGGCAGCAGUGAGGAAUAUUGGACAAUGGAAGGAAUUCUGAUCCAGCCAUGCCGCGUGAAGGAUUACAGCCCUAUGGGUUUUAAACUUCUUUUGUAUGUGAGCAAUAAGUCUUACGUGUAGGACGAUGAGAGUAGCAUACGAAUAAGCAUCGGCUAACUCCGUGCCAGCCGCCGCCGUAAGAC